UGGGGAAUAUUGCACAAUGGGCGAAAGCCUGAUGCAGCAACGCCGCGUGAGUGAUGAAGGCCUUCGGGUUGUAAAGCUCUGUCUUUUGGGACGAUAAUGACGGUACCAAAGGAGGAAGCCACGGCUAACUACGUGCCAGCAGCCGCGGUAAUACGUAGGUGGCAAGCGUUGUCCGGAUUUACUGGGCGUAAAGGAUGCGUAGGCGGAUUUUUAAGUGAGAUGUGAAAUACCCGGGCUUAACUUGGGUGCUGCAUUUCAAACUGGGAAUCUAGAGUGCGGGAGAGGAGAAUGGAAUUCCUAGUGUAGCGGUGAAAUGCGUAGAGAUUAGGAAGAACACCAGUGGCGAAGGCGAUUCUCUGGACCGUAACUGACGCUGAGGCAUGAAAGCGUGGGUAGCAAACAGGAUUAGAUACCCUGGUAGUCCACGCCGUAAACGAUGAGUACUAGGUGUAGGAGGUAUCGACCCCUUCUGUGCCGCAGUUAACACAAUCAAGUACUCCGCCUGGGGAAGUACGAUCGCAAGAUUAAAACU
rnacentral:rRNA from 1 species